GUGGGGAAUCUUAGACAAUGGGGGCAACCCUGAUCUAGCCAUGCCGCGUGAGUGAUGAAGGCCUUAGGGUUGUAAAGCUCUUUCAGUGGGGAAGAUAAUGACGGUACCCACAGAAGAAGCCCCGGCUAACUCCGUGCCAGCAGCCGCGGUAAUACGGAGGGGGCUAGCGUUGUUCGGAAUUACUGGGCGUAAAGCGCACGUAGGCGGAUCGGAAAGAUGGGGGUGAAAUCCCAGGGCUCAACCCUGGAACUGCCUUCAAAACUAUCGGUCUGGAGUCCGAGAGAGGUGAGUGGAAUUCCGAGUGUAGAUGUGAAAUUCGUAGAUAUUCGGAGGAACACCAGUGGCGAAGGCGGCUCACUGGCUCGGUACUGACGCUGAGGUGCGAAAGCGUGGGGAGCAAACAGGAUUAGAAACCCCAGUAGUCC
rnacentral:rRNA from 1 species